rnacentral:rRNA from 1 species
UACGUAGGGGGCGAGCGUUGUCCGGAUUUAUUGGGCGUAAAGAGCUCGUAGGCGGUUUGGUAAGUUGGAUGUGAAAUCUCCAGGCUCAACUUGGAGGGGUCAUUCGAUACUGCCAUGACUAGAGUUCGGUAGGGGAGUGUGGAAUUCCUGGUGGAGCGGUGAAAUGCGCAGAUAUCGGGAGGAACAUCAGUGGCGAAGGCGGCUACCUGGCCCAAUACUGACACUCAGGUGCGACAGCGUGGGGAGCAAACAGG